rnacentral:rRNA from 1 species
UAGGGAAUCUUCGGCAAUGGACGAAAGUCUGACCGAGCAACGCCGUGUGAGUGAAGAAGGUUUUCGGAUCGUAAAACUCUGUUGUUAGAGAAGAACAAGGACGUUAGUAACUGAACGUCCCCUGACGGUAUCUAACCAGAAAGCCACGGCUAACUACGUGCCAGCAGCCGCGGUAAUACGUAGGUGGCAAGCGUUGUCCGGAUUUAUUGGGCGUAAAGCGAGCGCAGGCGGUUUCUUAAGUCUGAUGUGAAAGCCCCCGGCUCAACCGGGGAGGGUCAUUGGAAACUGGGAGACUUGAGUGCAGAAGAGGAGAGUGGAAUUCCAUGUGUAGCGGUGAAAUGCGUAGAUAUAUGGAGGAACACCAGUGGCGAAGGCGGCUCUCUGGUCUGUAACUGACGCUGAGGCUCGAAAGCGUGGGGAGCAAACAGG